rnacentral:rRNA from 1 species
CAGUCGCCGCGGUAAUACGUAGGGUGCGAGCGUUAAUCGGAAUUACUGGGCGUAAAGCGUGCGCAGGCGGUUGUGUAAGACAGGUGUGAAAUCCCCGGGCUUAACCUGGGAACUGCGCUUGUGACUGCACAGCUAGAGUAUGGCAGAGGGGGGUGGAAUUCCACGUGUAGCAGUGAAGUGCGUAGAGAUGUGGAGGAACACCGAUGGCGAAGGCAGCCCCCUGGGCCAAUACUGACGCUCAUGCACGAAAGCGUGGGGAGCAAACAGGAUUAGAUACCCGAGUAGUCCCUGUCUCUUAUAC